GGUAUGAGAGUAGUGGACAGAAGG
rnacentral:piRNA from 1 species